AGCAGCACUACAGGUGAUCAGACUGUCAGCAUUACUGUCAGACACACACAGAGCCUGAUGGAGCACAGAGAGGAGGCUGAUGGUGAACCCAGAGUUUUAUAAAGGUCUACAGGUCUGGCUUCAAAAUCCUUCUAAUCUGACCCUGAGGAGAGAAGUUCUGACUUUGAGAGGGAGGAGGGGGUCCCUGCCUCUAAACUGAGUCUCUCUGGGAAGAGAUAGGAGGGGGUCCCUGCCUCUAAAACUAGUCUCUCUGGGGAACAUGACAUGGACACCAAAACUAAGAGCCCAAUCCAGCAGAGACCAGCCUCACCUGUACCCAGCUGUGUGUCCAUGAAGAGUGACAAGUCUAUGAAUCAACCUAUCAUGUUCAGUGAUGGAGGAGGACCUUCUAAUGAGG